rfam:Rattus norvegicus chromosome 14, whole genome shotgun sequence.
GGGGACUUGGCUCAGCGGUAGAGCGCUUGCCUAGCAAGCGCAAGGCCCUGGGUUCGAUCCCCAGCUCCG